CGCGUCCGCCGCUCAAAUCCCCUGGAACGGGGUAUCGGAGAAGGUGAGAAUCCUGUGCCGUGGCGGUUCGCGGUCGCACGAUGCGCUCUUGCAGAGUCGGGUUGCUUGGGAUUGCAGCUUGAAUUGGGUGGUAAAUUCCAUCUAAAGCUAAAUACUGGCGAGAGACCGAUAGCGAACAAGUACCGUGAGGGAAAGAUGCAAAGAACUUUGAAAAGAGAGUUAAAGAGUGCUUGAAAUCGGCAAGAGGAAACCCGUUUGCGC
rnacentral:rRNA from 16 species